rnacentral:rRNA from 1 species
UUGAACGCUGGCGGAAUGCUUUACACAUGCAAGUCGAGCGGCAGCGCGGGGGCAACCCUGGCGGCGAGCGGCGAACGGGUGAGUAAUGUAUCGGAACGUACCCUGUCGUGGGGGAUAACACAGCGAAAGCUGUGCUAAUACCGCAUACGACCUGAGGAUGAAAGCAGGGGACCCUCGGGCCUUGCGCGAACGGAGCGGCCGAUGGCCGAUUAGGUAGUUGGUGGGAUAAAAGCUUACCAAGCCGACGAUCUGUAGCUGGUCUGAGAGGACGACCAGCCACACUGGGACUGAGACACGGCCCAGACUCCUACGGGAGGCAGCAGUGGGGAAUUUUGGACAAUGGGCGAAAGCCUGAUCCAGCAAUGCCGCGUGCAGGAUGAAGGCCUGCGGGUUGUAAACUGCUUUUGUACGGAACGAAAAGUCUCGGGAUAAUACACUGGGACCAUGACGGUACCGUAAGAAUAAGCACCGGCUAACUACGU